CAGAUCCUUAACCCACUGAGCAGGGCCAGGGAUCAAGCCCACAUCCUCAUGGAUUCUAGUCAGGUUCGUUACCACUGAGCCACCAUGGAACUCCACACAGCCCACAAACAGUUUUCUAUCCAUUACUUCAUUCUGAUUUUCCCCACAAUCUUGGGGGCUGAGACCAUCAUUUCACAGAUGAGGAAACUGAGGCUCAGUGUCCUGUGCUAAGCCACCGGCCUGGGAGUGGUGUGCCCGGGACAGAAAUCCAACGAGUUCUGAGUCCUCACCCAGAGCUUUCCCUGGGAUCCCGGGCCACCUCACUGCACAACUCAGUACCUCUGAGGGGUCCCGUCUUGCUUUGUUUGGAUGGGGAGUGAGGCAUCUGGAGAGAAGAAGGAUAAGAAAUCUUCAAAACUGGAGGCCAGACAGAUUGCAGACGUCUUCAGUGUCAAGCCAAGGAGAUUAGUUAGUUACACAAGUUAUCACAAAGAAAAGAAAAACAGGAGAAAAUACCACACAGUCCUGAGAAUCAUAAACAGAGGUCACGGCUCACCACUCACCCUCCGGCCUGAAAUGCUUCGGAGGUACUUUCUGAGUGGUUCUGGGUAUGUGGUUUGGACUUGCAACCCAAAUAGGUUAGAAUUAUCCUAUUGGACAAUGCUGACAGGUGUUAGCCCUCCUGUGACCUCAUGAUGUGAGUCCUACUGCAUCUUAGAAUAAAACAAUCUGGAACUCUAGCCCUUUUCAUUAGGUUUUAAUGGAUUCAAUGUGAAAAAUCAGUAUUUGAAAAUAUGCUUCAUGUUUUGUUUUGCCAGUCAUUAAGAAGAUGCCAUUUUCUUUUUUUUUUUUUUUUUAAUCUUUUUGCCUUUUCUAGGGCCGCUCCUGAGUCAGGAAGGGGGAGACCUUUAUAUCCGCUCCUUAUGCUGUUUCAGGACAGAACGUGACUUGGAAACACAGUGGUGCCCUGCAAGGGAACUCAGAGUCGCACCACGAGGGGCUGCAGGGGGUGCAGGCUGGGCAGGGACUCUACCCAGGCUGUUCCUGGGUCCUCGGCACAAAGCACAACAGGAGGCCCACCGCCCUCCCUGAGCAAGGGAGCUUCCCUUCGUUCUGUCUUUUUAGGGCCACACCUGCAGCAUAUGGAACUUCCCAGGCUGGGGUCUAAUCGGAGCUAUAGCUGCCGGCUUAUGCCAGAGCCACAGCAACGCAGGAUCCGAGCUGUGUCUGUGACCUGCACCACAGCUCACAGCAACACCGGAUCCUUUUAACCCACCGAUGGAACCCACAUCCUCAUAGAUACUAGUCAGAUUCGUUACUGCUGAGUCAUGACAGGAACUCCUGGCAUCUUCUCUUCAAAGUGCUUAUCAGACUCACUGUACAAUGAGGAGGCUGGAUUAAAUAUGAACGAAGACCAAAGAGAUACUCGUGUCACGUCGACAGAGCUUUCUGAAUUUGCUUCCUCUCUCCUGCCCCCUCCUGAAUCUGAUUAUCUUCUUAUAUUCACACAGAUUUUGUUCACCGAUGCAUUCCCACUACAGUGAACAAAGUGAAAAAAGCACAAUGUUCCUGCUAAAUCACAUUUAACAAACCCCUUUGGGGCAGAAAGGAGUGCACACAGAUCAGUCUGUGUGAGGAAGACCUCAGGCCCCAACCACUCCCCAGCAUUAAGCUCUAGUUGAAAGGAGGUGGGUGCCCCAGGCCACAUCUAUAAUGAUGGAAGCUUCUCCAUCUCUGAUUGCAGGCCUGAACCCCUAUGAGCCCAUAAUCAUUCUCAAAAGUAUGCAAAAGAAACCACCAAAGGCUUAAACAAGAGUACUCCUCUGGAUGUCUAAGACGACCAGAGCCACCUCACACCUGCAGGGAGGAGAAAUGAACAACGCGCACGGGGGCCUUGGUAAUUUUCCUAUUUGAUGAAAAUGAACCAUAUCUGCUUGUCAGGAUGAAUCAAUCCUGAGGAUCCUGAGGAUCGGUGUCUAAGACAAGGUAUUACAGAAUUUAUUGACCUAAAACUGAUCAUUAAAAGGCCUGUCUUCCAAUGGGCCCUCCCUGCAUGUGUUCAUUUUAUGCUACAUUCUAUUUCUUCUGCACUGCACACCCUGGGGCUCACAGGGAUAACGAAGCCCUGGGUCCACAUGCACGUGGCAGUGGUGAGACCUGGUGGAGGAAGCAUGCGAGAAUCAGUGCAAGAGGCAGCACCUGUCUAUUUCCACCCAAAGUGAUGGCCAUCGAUACACAAGUCUAGGUUCUACUGAAGACACCUUUUAUUUUUAGGGCCGCGCCCAUAGCAUAUGGAGGUUCCAAGGCUAGGGGUUGAACUGGAGCUACGGCUGGCGGCCUACACCACAGCCACAGCAACGCCAGGUCCGAGCUGCAUUUGCUACCCACACCACAGCUCACAGCAACGCCAGAUCCUUAACCCAACCAACUGAGUGAGGUCAGGGCUCGAACCUGUAUCCUCAUGGAUCCUAGUCGGGUUUAUAAUCACUGAGUCACAACAGAACUCUCUGCACCAUUUUUUUCUCUCUGGGGUAUGAAACACUAGCUUGGGCUGCGCAAAGAAUGCCCCUCCUGUCACAGCAUUUGCAAAGCCUCUUCUGGUCAAUCACCACACCCCAAGCUGCCGUCUCGUGCACGUGUGUCUCCUCACUUCAUGCAUGUUCUCUGUGAGGACGAGAGGAGGAGGCCCAGGGGACUCCAUCUCCCUAGCAGGCCUAUUUCCCUCCUCCAGCUGUGCUGACAAAUGCUUGCUUUCAGUCUGGCACCGUCUCUGGUCCUUGGUCACUCAGGCUCAGACCAAGCACCCCAGACCUCUGACGCCAGCAGGUUCUAGCACACACAGCUAAGAUGUCCCCUUUGGUUUUUCCUGGGGGUCACUCAGUGGGUGGGGCCAUCUAACAGCACAUGCCAGGUCCCAGGCCCCCACCUGGCAGAGGGGCAGGCCUGAGUCAGUGUCCUGAGAGGCGUGAGGGAGUCACAUUGAUGCUAUGUCUUCCUCGGCGUCCAUGGGGACAGGUUCCGGGAGUCCCUGGGACACCAAAACCUGCAGAUGCUCAAGUCCUGUACCCAGGACGGCACAGGGCACACCUCAGCUUGAGGGCUCACCUCGGGGACUGGAGGCACCUGGGCUUGGUGGCUAUCUGGGUGCUUGGGAGCUCUGACUUGGCUUCGGAGGACUGGUCCUGACCAGCUUUGUUCUGGGGCUGCGAACCGCUGCCGCUGGAGGUCAGGGGUUACAAAGAGAGCCUCACGACUGCCCAAGCUGACAGGGUCACCAGGUCAGAAGGCUCAGUGGGGUGGCCUUUGGGUGGCUCAAGAAGCUGGCCUGGCUUAGCAGCCACUGGGUAGCCUGGAUGGGAAACCUCAGCCAUCACCACCACCUCUGCUUCCCCCACCAUCACUGCCCAUGGGCAGAGAACCUUCUAGAGUAUGUGAGCUCACUGACCCCCCGCACAGGCUGUGGGGUCGGCUGGGAGCCUCCAAGGAACAGAGCUGGGGACUCUGCGACCUGCUCGAGGCCAGCAGCCCACACCGCAUCUGCUCUGUGCACAAAGGUUCCAAACUGCCUGCCCUGCUCUGCCGCUAGGAAAAUGCAUCCGCCCCAGGACAAAACUGUAGUCUGGUUUCUGCCACCCCCCACCACCACCACCAGCACUGCAGGCUCCCGCACGCAGCCUCUCACUGCGGAUGGUCUGAUUUAUUUCCUCUCCAGACUCUGCAGGGCCUGUCACUGCUGCCCAGGGGCUCCACUCUCCCUUUAUCUCUCGAAGCUGGAGGAGGCCUCCUUUCCUACAACCACUCACCCUCUGUCCUAUUCAAUAACCAUUCUAGUAACUCAGCCCGCAGUUUUUUCUGCCUUUUUUUUUUUAAGGGCCACACCUGUGGCAAUAUGGAAGUUUCCAGGCUAGGGGGCAAAUGGGAGCUGCAGCUGCUGGCCUACACCACAGCCACAGCAACGGGGGAUCCAAGCUGCGCCUGCGACCUGCACCACUGAGCGAGGCCUGGGAUCAAACCUGUGUCCUCAUGAUUACCCGUCAGAUUCGUUUCCCCAUAGUCACAACGGGAACUCCACCUCGGCCCUUGUUUUAAAACACCUUUGCAGACAGCUUGCUUCAAGUCUUCCAAUUAAAAGAAAAAAGAGGGAGUUCCUAUCGUGGUUCAGUGGUUAACGAAUCCGACUAAGAACCAUGAGGUUGUGGGUUCAGUCCCUGGCCUUGCUCAGUAGGUUAAGGAUCCAGCGUUGCCAUGAGCUGUGGUAUAGGUUGCAGAUGCGGCUCGGAUCCCGAGUUGCUGUGGCUCUGGUGUAGGCCCGUGGCUCCAGCUCCGAUUCGACCCCUAGCCUGGGAACCUCCAUAUGCCGUGGGAGCAGCCCUAGAAAAGGCAAAAAGAUCAAAAAUAAAUAAAUAAAGAAAAAAGAUACAGCUCCUAAAAAAAAAAAAAAAAAAAAGUCACCAGCAGCCAGGUAGUGCCAUGCCUCAGGAACUUAACCUGCACUUCAUUUGGUAUAAUCUGUGUUAAAACAGUACAGCAUUAUCUGCCUGGAAUGCACUAGAAGCCCUGGGGUAGCGUUUUUUUGCAUGAGAGAUAUUAAAUCUGGUCAGAAUUCAACAAGAAAGCAUCAUGUGGGGAAAAUCCGUGCCUGUUGGACCCUUGGCUGAUCACAUUUCAAAGCCUAGCGCUUGGCUAGAGGGCAUCUUUCUUUAAAAAUAAAGCAAUCCUAUUACUCAGAGCCUUUGCUGUGUACUGUAGCUUUGAAGGAAUUUGAGAGUUUGCAAAUUUGAGGUUGAAAAUUAAAAACCCAUGACUAAAGACUUGAAUCCAUUUAUUCAGGUAAAAUGAAUAUAACUUUGAGAAGUCUGUCCUCAUUAGGACCCUUUCAAUGUAAUCUGUGACCUGGUGUGAGUCAGUUUAACCAGCCUCUUGCCCACGAAAGGAGACCCAUUUUCUAAAACAGGAUCCAUCUCCAAAGUACCCAGGAGAACCAGAGAAUGAUAUUAACUGAAGUGCAAUUCUUUCUCAAGAAUGCCUCAUGGCUUUCUAAUCAGUGUUACUUUUCUUUUGCCAGGUUUAGCGUACCCCUUCCCCACCAAAGGCAUUAAAAUAAACCCUGGCCCCAUAGGAGUGAUCAAAGUGUCUCCAGUCACAGAGGAAUGUCUGCUCCUCCGAGCUUGGGGAGGUUUCUAACUAAUGAACCAGAACACCGUCACAUGCCUGGCUGCCAAGUAAUACAUUCAAGUGCUUUCCUAAUGAGAUUUCUGCAAGGUAACUAUAAAACCAUAAAAAGCAUACUAAGCUUCAGUGAAGCUGAAACAUUAAAAAAAAAAAAAAAAACCAAAUCCCCUUAAGGGAAAGAAGACAGCAGUUAAAAAGCUGCAGAGAAUUCAACAGGUGGAAAAAUAAGGCUCAAUGAUUUCCUAUCUGAGCAAUGGAGCGGACACAAAGCAGAGCCGUGUAGGAUCAAAAAGAAGCCACCUGAUGAUCUCAAAAUCUGACCUUAAAUAUCAUCCUUGCCAUGCAUUCUUGUCUAUUGGUAACAUGGACCCAUGACAGAACUCCAAAUGUCCCCCAUUAUGAAAAGGAACAGCUCUUCAUUUCUAGAACUUCUGUCUGAGAACUGAGGAAUAGUCUACACAAAUCUUGACUAUCAGGAUCCCUCUGUUAGAGCCACCACAGUGAGGAACUCUCACGUGACAUACUGACCACAACAAUGACACCAAGCCACUACCACGAACCACUCUGAAAUGGUUUGGGGAAAUCUUUCUUUCGCUUCCUGCUCAGCACUGUGCCUUUAUCACUUAAGCAUGGAGCCCACCAGGACACUGACAAGGCUAGGAGGCCACAAGCCAGCUGCCCGGGUCUGCAUUCGUGUGACACUGCGGCUUCAGUGUGUUCCAUGCUGGUCUGCCCUGGGUCCUGCUUGGAGGGGUGAAGAGUGGAAGCCACCAGCCACCCUCAAAGACCGUGUGGGACCUGAGAACCAACACAGGUGAUGCUUAGAGAAGCGGAGCUGGGGUGGGGCAACCGUGAAGCAGCUUCUAAUAUGUGACGGGAUCCAGGGAGAAAUUCUUCAUUUUCUUCACAAUUUCAAUCAAAUGCAAUCAAACGAUGAACUGAUUCCAAAGGAAAUUUUUUUUUUUUUUUUUUUUUUGGCUUUUU
ensembl:lncRNA